CACCGACUUCCCAGCGCGCGGCGGCCGGGCGCUCCCUAUAAAGGUCCUGUGCUCCUUGUAUCUGGAGCCCUCCGCCUCCGGACUCCCAGCCUUGCCACAAUUUGUGACAGUGACGCCAGACAUCAGCAUGGUCCUGGAAAGAACUGAAUCCACUGCGGGUCGGGUCAGCCUGAUGUUCCUCCUCUUUGGGAGUUCAUCCCUCCUAUCUGUGGGUCUCCCUGCCCCCAAAUUGUCAGGGCCCUCUCCAAAUGUUCAUGGGUCCUGCACAGCCCCUCUCCGUUUAAAUUUGUAAGAAAUCAAGACAAUCUCCUAGGGCAAGGAUUGUUGGGGGGUGCUGGGGUACCAGAGUGACCAAGGCUGACCCAGUCUCCUCAUCACCAAGCCCGCAGUUUGUAAGGGCCGGAAAACAAAAUACAUAGACGAACAAGUUAAUAGGUAA